UACAGAGGUCUCAAGCGUUGUUCGGAUUCAUUGGGCGUAAAGGGUGCGUAGGCGGCGCGGUAAGUCGGGUGUGAAAUCUCGGAGCUUAACUCCGAAACUGCAUUCGAUACUGCCGUGCUUGAGGACUGGAGAGGAGACUGGAAUUUACGGUGUAGCGGUGAAAUGCGUAGAUAUCGUAAGGAAGACCAGUGGCGAAGGCGGGUCUCUGGACAGUUCCUGACG
rnacentral:rRNA from 1 species